CUUCUUUCCUUUUUCUUCAUUAAAGUAUAUUAUUAAAAUUUUUAAAGUAUAA
rnacentral:sRNA from 1 species